ACCUAGGUGGUGCAAAUGUUUAAUGCGCUUGGCUGCAAACCAAAAGGUUGGAGGUUCAAGUCCACCCAGGGGUG
rnacentral:tRNA from 1 species